GAAGGACUACAGGAGCCUGAUCGAGACGCAACACAUCACCUGAAGCAACGAUCGUGUCUGCACUGCUUCCCACUUACAGACAUGACUAUGACUCUUGUGGAGAGACGACUCGAUGGCUGUGAGCCGCUGGAUCAGCGGAGGACGUGAUCAUCUCUGG